rnacentral:rRNA from 1 species
GAAUAUUGCGCAAUGGGCGAAAGCCUGACGCAGCCACGCCGCGUGCAGGAAGACACCCCUCUGGGGCGUAAACUGCUUUUGUGUGAGAAGAAGGCCCUCGUUCUGAGGGAUGGACGGUAUCGCACGAAUAAGGACCGGCUAACUCCGUGCCAGCAGCCGCGGUAAUACGGAGGGUCCAAGCGUUGUCCGGAAUCACUGGGUGUAAAGGGUGCGUAGGCGGGCUCGUAAGUCAGGGGUGAAAGCCCACGGCUCAACCGCGGAACUGCCCUUGAUACUGCGAGUCUUGAGUCCUGGAGGGGCUGGCGGAAUUCGUGGUGUAGCGGUGAAAUGCGUAGAUAUCACGAGGAACACCGGAGGUGUAGACGGCCAGCUGGACAGGUACUGACGCUGAGGCACGAAAGCGUGGGGAGCGAACAGG